UCGGAUAUAGUUUACUAAAAAUGUUGCGUUGUGGUUGCAAAGUUGGGGAUUACCUCUGUUCGUA
rnacentral:tRNA from 1 species